UUAGUUUGAGGUGGGAAAUGGUUCCCCAUACGCUAUUAAUUUAGUUAACAGAGAUACAGGAUACACCGCCCUGUCAAACUAA
ncrna:unclassified sequences skipping-rope RNA